rnacentral:rRNA from 1 species
AGUCGUUCUGCCCAUUGAUUUUAAAAGGCUGCAGUAUAUUAACUGUACAAAGGUAGCAAAAUAAAUAGUUUUUUAAUUGAAAACUUGAAUGAAAGAGUUGAUAAAAUAUAAGUUGUCUCAAAAAUGAAUUUAAAUUAAAAGUAAAAAUGCUUUUAUUUUUUUAUUAGACGAUAAGACCCUAAGAAUUUUAUAUUUUAAAUUGUUUUAAAAAAUCAUUUUAGUUUAAAUUAUUUUAUUGGGAGGAUAAUUAAAUUGAACUUUAAUUAAAUAUAAUAUUUUUAGAUAAAAUUAAUGAUUAAUUUAUUAAUUAUAAGAAUUAAUUACCUUAGGGAUAACAGCGUAAUAAUUUUGGAGAGUUCAUAUUGAUAAAAUUGUUUGCGACCUCGAUGUUGAAUUAAAAUAAAAAUUAAAUGGAGAUAUUUAAAUUUUUAGUCUGUUCGACUAUUAAAAUUUUAC